GUUUGUGGCUCAGUGGUAGAGAGUGCUCGCCUAGCACGUGCUAGGCCCUGGGUUCGAUCCUCAGCACCACA
rnacentral:tRNA from 1 species